rnacentral:rRNA from 1 species
GACGAACGCUGGCGGCGUGCUUAACACAUGCAAGUCGAACGGAAAGGCCCUGCUUUUGUGGGGUGCUCGAGUGGCGAACGGGUGAGUAACACGUGAGUAACCUGCCCUUGACUUUGGGAUAACUUCAGGAAACUGGGGCUAAUACCGGAUAUGAGCUCCUGCUGCAUGGUGGGGGUUGGAAAGUUUCGGCGGUUGGGGAUGGACUCGCGGCUUAUCAGCUUGUUGGUGGGGUAGUGGCUUACCAAGGCUUUGACGGGUAGCCGGCCUGAGAGGGUGACCGGCCACAUGGGGACUGAGAUACGGACCAGACUCCUACGGGAGGCAGCAGGGGGGAAUAUUGCACAAUGGGCGGAAGCCUGAUGCAGCAACGCCGCGUGCGGGAUGACGGCCUUCGGGUUGUAAACCGCUUUCGCCUGUGACGAAGCGUGAGUGACGGUAAUGGGUAAAGAAGCACCGGCUAACUACGUG